GUUGUGGGAAUUACUUUGCUUUUGAAGCUCUGGCUAGCUUGGUGGCAAGCAGCUAGCAACCUUUUAGCUACAUUUGAUACUAUGUCUACUGCUUAGAGAAAGUGCUUACCAGGAAGAGAGACAUUUGGAAACCCUGUACUGGCAUCUACUAAGUUCCACCACUGCUACAAAGAAUAGCUGGGUUUGGAUUAGAAUCUAGGUGACCUCAGGAAAUGAUAAGAGCAUGAUAGUGGUGUGGCUUGGCUAGAUGAAGAGAUAUUCCUCCUCUCACUGCACCCACCAGCCAUGGUCAAGCUUAGCCUCUGCCUACAAAUGAUUGCAUCAUUGUCGUGGUUUGAAGGGAAGUGAGUUUUUUUGGAAGUAGUGGUCAAACCAAUCAGUCCUUAGGUCUGAGUAUUGGCACCUUUGUUGGCCACUAAGAGGUUGGACACGCCUCUGAGGACACGAGGGGUUAAAAGCCGGAUUUCCCAGCAGGACUCUCUUUUUCCCUGCUCUGCUUUCGGAGAGGGAGUGUCUUCUCCUCUCCCCUGCCCAGGCCUGGCUAGGCUGGGUGGGGGAGGGGAGCAAGGUGGGCCUGGCUGAGCAAGGCAGAAGAGAGUUAUCCCUGGACGCUGAAUUCUCAUAGUUGGUGGUUUUAGAAGAGAGAGGACAGCCUGGGACCGAGAGGGUAAUGUGAGAUGAAAAGAAGCCCCUUCGAUUGCCGGAAUGAAGAGGAGUGGCCUAUUAGGCCGGACUUUUCCUGCAUAAUGAUAGCCAUAGACGGACCCUGGACCCUCCUGACUAUAAAUAAGACUGUGUUUGGGUGGAUGUUUUUGGCUCAAACCCAGAGACGUUCUGGCCUGCUUCUUGGAGCCCCCGGCCCCAGGGGUAAAUGGGGGGGACCUGAGUCCCAAAAUGAGAAGAUGGCUGGUUUUUGGUACUUGGCCAAAACAUCCUUAAAAAGAGCCCUGUUGCAGUUCAGGUCCAUGGACGGCAGUGAGAGUGCUGGACAUGGAAAGGAGGGUGUCACCCUGGCAGACUCUUCGAGGCAGUGCCAUGGGUGACGUGGGAACACGGGAUGGUGGACCUGUGUUUCCUGUGGGGGGGGGUCUGUGGUGCGAGAGAGACUCCUCUCGUCCUGGAUGGAAUGUGGAUUGUCUGAAUUUUAAAGGAUGAUGAUUUGGAUUAGGAACCCAGGGUUGUUGAGGGAUUAAGCAAGUAGAUGAAGGUAAUGUGCUGGAGUCAACUGAGUGAGCAUGUAUGGAAUGGAAAUUGGGGGGAGGAGAAGCAGUGUUUUUGGGAGGUUUUCUCUUCUGCUUUUGGGUGGCUGGGUUUUUCUUUCCUUUUCUAUUGUCCAUUGUUAUGUAGUAUAAUAAAUUGUCUGUCUGUUUCAAGUA